AUUGAACGCUGGCGGCAUGCCUUACACAUGCAAGUCGAACGGAAGCACGGGUGUUUGCCCCUGGUGGAGCGUGGCGCAGGGGAGUGAAGUCUAUCGGACCAUGUCCUGUAGUGGGGGAAAGCCCGGAGACAGCCGCUAAUAUACCGCACACGAUCUAGGAAAGAAAGGGGGGGAUCUUGGGGCCUCGCGAUCUAGGGAUGGCCGAUGGCGGAUUAGAUAGUUGGUGGGGUAAAGGUAUACCAAGGCGACGAUCUGUAUCUGGUCUGAGAGGAAGAACAGCCACACUGGAACUGAGACACGGCCCAGACUCCUACGGGAGGCAGCAGUGGGGAAUUUUGGACAAUGGGCGAAAGCCUGAUCCAGCAAUGCCGCGUGUGUGAAGAAGGCCUUCGGGUUGUAAAGCACUUUUAGUCGGAAAGAAGUCCUGUGCCCUAAUACGUUCGUGGGUUGACGUUACCGGAAGAAUAAGCACCGGCUAACUACGUG
rnacentral:rRNA from 1 species